rnacentral:rRNA from 1 species
GACUUCGGAUCAGGUAGGGUUACCCGCUGAACUUAA